GAGCUUAGGGGAUGGCCGGAAGGACAAGAAAGAAACCCACAUUAUUUCGACUUUCGAGAGAAAAGGGAGGGAAGAGAGGGCUUGAGCUGGAGGUGGUAUUUAUAGGCUAUGAUGGAUACUAUGUGAGUCGGUUAUAAAGCCGUUACUUUGUAUGGAUUACUUAUGCAAAUAGCAUGAACCGGACAAGCUAUACGAUGUGAGUCAUAUAAAAUACACGUAACUAUGUAUAGUUGUUUCUUUGACAAAGGCGAUUUAAACAAGGAAGCGUCGACUAUGGAUCCGAUUGGAUAUGGAUCCAGGCCGAGCAGGUGCAUGAAUGUUCCCGCACACGCAGAAUAACAUGCCUAGUACAAAGGAGGUUAGGCUUGCACUCUGAUUUUCUUAUUCGGCGUUGUAGUGAACCUUGUUUGGGGUUGCUUGAUGAGCCGGAUAUUUCAUAAUAUAUGAUUUAGAGAGGUACCUAAAACUAGUCAUGCUGAUUAAAUACAGGUGUCAUGAAUGCAAAAAAAACCAAUGAAGGGAUGGGGCAUAUAUUGGAUCAGGUUAAGUCACGUCUAGACCGAUAUCAAUAAAACUUUUAUCCAAUCCCGACUUGGCCCACUUUUAGGUCAAAAAGUCAAAGCCCUAUCAUAACAAAUCUUAAAAGUACAAACCGAACUUGAAAACAAAAGCCAACCUAAGCUCCCUACAUAGGAGACAACAAGAGAGAGAGAGCUUUGAGCCUCCAUGUUUCUAGCCAAUUUGAAUAGAAAGUGGGGUAAAGGUUGACGAUUACACCACCGCUCCACGGGUAUGUUGAUGGCUUUGUCUUAGAUAAAUAAUAGUGACUGUUGAAACAAGCACAAUCAAUUAAUUGCAGCCAAAAAUCCCAUCAUAAGUAAACAAAAGGAACACAAAGCCAUACCAGGCAUCCAUAUUUUGAUGAUGCUGCAGAGAAUGAUACCUUGAUCGGAUGGUUUAGACCAGUGAUUGACUAACUGAUUGGCCUUUGAUGGUAGAAUUAGUUAUCUAACAUGAUUAUGUUUAAGAAAAUAAAAACACAUUGCUAAAAAAAUUAAAAAGAAAAGAAAAGCAUACAAUAUCUUUUUUCUCUUUAGUAUGGCUGAGAAUAAGUGUACUUCAGCUUAUGGGCCAAACUUUCAUUGUCUGGUACAAAUCAUCAAGCCAGUCUGUUUAACAAUUUUGCGUGCUAUUUCAAAUUCAGGCCCGGUCCGUUUGUCCUCCUUAACACCAUACUUAAUCGAAUGCCUGUCAUUGCCACAUCAUUACUCUGCAUGUCACGCCAUGCCUAGGCGGGGAAUAUGGUCCUUAAGUGAUUAAAUGUGGUCUUAUUUCGCUAGAGAAUAAUCCUUUUAUUUGAACAUAGUAUACAUGAGUAAAUCAAGUGGUGUUGGAUAUACAUUGGUUUAUAGAUAUCUGCUCCAGUGUGCUACCAAGAUUCUCUAAAUGAAACAUCAUCAAAUUAGGAAAAAAAUUAUAAAUUUAAAACUGAUUCAUCACCAUAUGCUAAAUAAAACAUCUACAAUCUACAAGUUUAUAAUCCAUUUCGGGACUUUAGAAUUAAAGACCAAGGAUACAAGAUAUAGGUUUAGGAGAGAAGAAGAUCGAGAGAGGGAAAGUAGAGUCAGUCGCUGGAAACAAACUAGGUUGUCGGUGGCCCGGUCAGAUUGAGCCCACUCAGUUGCAACUUGAAACCAAUCAGUUCGUUUAGAGCUCAGCCUAAGCCCGGCCCAAGUCCCAGCGAAGAUUAUUCAGAACUAUAGGUAAUUUCUCCCUCCCAAUCGGGUUCGGUUGGAACCCCUUAAAUUUUAUCCAAAUCAAAAUAUUCCGGCUUCCUGGGUUUCUCAAAUAGUCAACAUUUAGGGCCUGAAAACGACCAGGGUUUUCCGAUCUCAAUUCCAUAUAAUUCACUGCAUAAUGUUUUAGUCUAAUUCGAAGUGUUCAAAUUGACAUUGUAAUUAUUAUAUUACAUCAUAGAUUGUUCUAUUGACACUAUGGUGGAAUAGUGUAGCUGGAUAUUCUUAUUUCUCCUUUGAGGAAGAAUAAAACUAUGUAAUCUUCUAUAAGAAUUUAUAUGCUUGAUAGUUAAUACCGAAGAAACAGCUGCAUAUGAAAAUGUUUGUAACAUUCUUCAGAAAGUCUUCUCUUGAUUUGGUUGGGCAAUCUGCUGCUAUUUAUGUUUUUAAGUGUUUAUAUGCAGGAAACAGAAGCAUUAUGCUUUCCAAAAAAGAAAGUUUGGAGAAUAUGGCAUGAGAUGCUGGUAUUAUGUUUCUAAAUUACCAUGUGGCUAUUAAUUUGUUUAAGCGCAGGGACAUGAGAUGAGUGGGAGAUCCAAGGACCUGAUGACUCAGUUGCAGUCUGCAAAAAAUAAGUUUGAAGAAGUAGAAGCGAAAAAAUCUGAAAUUAAUAUAUCAAUCAGCAAGGCAUUUCUUUGAUUACAAUUGAUGGAAUCAAUUUACAAUUAUGGAUGGGGACUAAUGUUCUGUAAGUCGAGCAUCCUACAAUAAGAAAAUGCAAAUGAUUUUCUUUCUUAACAGUCAAAGCUGGCUUGUUAAGCAAGUAAAGCACCAAAUUGAGAGUGUUCCAGGGGGUCCAUCAAACCAAAUUAAUAGAUGAUUGGCUAUCAUUCCUUCCAAGGUCAGUCCACAGAAAUCUGUUCUGCUUCAUGUAUGUUAUCAUAUGAUGUGCUGGUUCAUCCAGUCUCCUUUGAUGGAAAUGGAUGAGGAUGCCCUGGAAGGAGGAAUACAAAGUUCUGUUGGCUGAUAACACUGGAGAAAUGGAAUACCGGAACUCUCUAGAGGUGUAUUCUGGUUUGAACUUCUGCUGUAUCGAUUUGAUAGUUUACCUGUUUUUAUUGCUGAUGCUAGUAUCUUUGACUAAAGAUUUUGCUCUGUAUCAGUUCGUCUAUGGUAUUAGUAGUCUUAAAUCGCCUGAUAUUUUUGCAAUUUCAUUGUUUUGUGAACAAUCAACUUCUUUAUGGUAUCUGUUAUUGGAGAUUUUCAAUUAAUUUCCUCCGGGGACUAGGUUUAGAGGAAUAAACCUGGCUUACCUUCUGUAUGUGUGCUAAUGUUGUGAAAUAUCAUGUUCUGUGUGCAAUCGGUAAUCAUUCUGAUAUUUUUGUAGUUGCAUUCUUGCUUGAUUGCAGACACCGGAGCUUCUUCAACAAGAAAUGGUCAUCCUUUCAAUAAAAAUAAAAGAAAGUGGUAUGCAUCAGAGUGAGAGUUCAAUCACAUUUUCGUCAUAUAGAUCAGUGAAUUUUGUGUACUUUGUCUUCAAUAGAUCUUACUACUCAAAGAUCACCGAGGAGUUGAAUGUUAAACUAAAGGAACAGCAGCUAGGCUUGAAUGAAAUAUUCCAAAGUUCUUUUGAACUAUCAUAUCAUCCCUUGGCAUGCCUUGUGCUUCUAACUUGCAAGUAUGUACAACAAAGAUUUUCCAUGUUUUUUCCUCCUUUGUCUUGUGUGUGUAGGAUUGGUUUGACUCACAUAAGCAGAAAAUGAUACAAGAUGCUUGGCCAGUAUGCUUUCACUAACAUUCACCAUGACCUUCUAUACACUACUAUGCAAUAAUGAAUUAUGAGCUCUCCAUGUAUAAUGACCAGUUAAGCUGUGCAGGCUUAACAUGAAAAUAGGAGCAGUACCAAAUUGUUUUCUUUGUUAAGGUCUACUUUCAGGAAGAUCAUGAUAGUUGGAGUCCUCAGUUGCGGUUCUUGUUGCACCAAGUUGGACUAAGCUCAGCUAUUCUUUUCUAUGAGUUCAUUUUUCUCCAGUGAAAAGCAUUGAUUGUACAAUAAAGUUUAAUUUCUUCUUUCACAGUACAAUCAUUAUUCUAUUAAUUAGAUAAGAAUAUUACAGCUUCUAUCCAGUAAUUUGAUGAUGUUGCUAAUGUAGAUCGAGGAAUGUUCCUCUAAGCCAAUGGGUAGCUAUAUUGAUGGUAUGAUUCUUCUGAUGCAUAUUAUUUUCUUGUUGGUUUACCUGUAAUUUGUCGUUAGCAGAAUGUGGUGGAAUAGUGUAGCUGGAUAUUCUUAUUUCUCCUUUGAGGAAGAAUAAAACUACGUAUUAUUCUAUCAGAGUUUAUAUGCUUGAUAGUUAAUCCCGAAGAAACAGCUGCUUAUGAAAAUGUUUGUAAUAUUCUUCGGUAAGUCCUCUCUUGAUUUGGUUGGGCAAUCUGCUGCUAUUUAUGUUUUUAACUGUUUAUAUGCAGGAAACAGAAGCAUUAUGCUUUGCAAAAAAGCAAGUUUGGAGAAUAUGGCAUGAGAUGCUGGUAUUAUGUUUCUAAAUUACCAUGUGUUAUUAAUUUCUUUAACAGCAGGGACAUGAGAUGAGUGGGAGAUCCAAGGACCUGAUGACUCAGUUGCAGUCUGCAAAAAAUAAGUUUGAAGAAGUAGAAGCAAAAAAAAUCUGAAAUUAAUAUAUCAAGCAGCAAGGCAUUCUUUGAUUACAAUUGGUGGAAUCAAUUUACAAUUAUGGAUGGGCUCUAAUGUUCUAUAAGUCGAGCAUGCUACAAUAAGAAAAUGCAAAUGAUUUUCUUUCUUAAUAGUCAAAGCAGCUUGUUGAGCAAGUAAAGCACCAAAUUAAGAGUGUUCCAGGGAGUCCAUCAAACCAAAUUAAUAGAUGAUUGGCUAUCAUUUCUUCCAAGGUCAGUCCACAGAAGUCUGUUCUGCUUCAUGAAUGUUAUCAUAUGACGUGCUGGUUCAUGCAGUUUCCUUUGAUGGAAAUGGAUGAGGAUGCCUUGGGAGAGAAAUACAAAGCUCUGUUGGCUGAUAACACUGGAGAAAUGGAAUACCAGCACUCUCUAGAGGUGUAUUCUGGUUUGAACUUCUGCUGUAUUGAUUUGAUAGUUGACCUGUUUUUAUGGCUGAUGUUAGUAUCUUUUACUAAAGAUUUUGCUUUGUAUCAGUUCGUUUAUGGUAUUAGUAGUCUUAAAUCGUCUGAUCCUUUUGCAAUUUCAUUUUUUUGUAAACACUUUUACUAUAAUCAACUUCUUUAUGGUAUCUGUUACUGGAGAUUUUCAAUUAAUUUCCUCCAGGAACUAGGUUUAGAGGAAUAAACCUGGCUUGUCUGCUGUAUGUGUGCUAUUGCAUUCCUAUCUUCACUUUAUUUUCUCUAGCUUAGUGUUGCUGAUUGUUGACCUAUAUUCUCUUGACUGUUCCCUAUGGUCUCAUAGUUUUAUUAUCAUCAUAUUAAACACAAUAUUUGUUUUUCCGUUACACAUAUGAAAUAGAAAUCAAAUGCAAAGGUUGGUUCCAGCUGAAGUCUUGGUUCUGCAAUAUUUUAUCACUUACCGGACUGAGCUAUUUAAUUACAGUUUUCUUUUUUUUCUUUCAAACUUCUUAGUUUACUCACUUUCGGAUAUGACUUGGCUCUCUUAUUCCACAGGAGAUCUUUUCAGAUUCACCUAUUUUGUCUCUGAAACAUUUAUUUUGUCAUCUGAUUUCAAGAUGUAGUGUUAUUCGCUGCAAAUCAUCGAAUCAUGGUGAUAGGAAGUUGUCAUUCAUUCACAGUUUAUCUUUGUGGACAAGUUACACCAGUUAAUUACUCUUCUCUUCCUUUUGAAUUGAUGGAUACCUAUUAACCGAUCUUAGUAGGAUGCUGCAUAAAUAUCAUUCUUGUUAGGUUCUUGGUUAAGUAUUGAUGAGUAGCCAUUGUUGGAUACCAGCUGUAUGAUCUUGGAAGGAUGGUUGGUUAUAUAUUGAUCUUGUUAGGUUCUUCAGUAAUUCUUGGGGGGAUUAGUAGAAUAGGUUGGACUAUUGCAUUCGCAUCCUCACUUUGUUUUCUCUAGAAUAGUGUUGCUGAUUGUUGACCUAUAUUCUCUUAACUGUCCCUAUGGUCUCAUAGUUUUAUUAUCAUCAUAUUAAACACAAUAUUUGUUUUUCCAUUACAAAUAUGAAAUAGAAAUCAAAUGCAAAAUGUUGGUUCCAGCUAAAGUCUCGUUUCUGCAGCAUCCUUGACUUAUGCCUUAUUUGAUCUAUGUAAACAUGGAUCUCCGCCUUGACUGCAUUUUAAGUGUAUGGGUGCCUGGAUAACCAAAUUUUUUGAGUAAUUACUUUUCUUCCUGUUUUUCUUAACACAUGUUUUUCUACAUGUACAGAAGUUAGAGAGCCAGUUAUCCGUAUAAAGUUUCGGCAACUUGAUCUAGGUUUUGGAAAAUAUUGCAAUUCCCUUUCUUUGGUGCCCGAACAUUUUAUACUAGCAAGACUGUUCUAUUUUAUUGUUAUUUUAUUUCUUUUACAGUCUUAAUUUACUCAUGUUUGUAUAUGACUGGGCUCUCAUAUACCACUAGUUUUUGUUUCAGAUUCAUAUGCUUUGUUUCUGAAACAUUCAUUGCCAAAUUAUUUCACAUGCAGUGCUAUUUACUUCAGUUCAUUAUAACAUCAUGAUAAGACAUUGCUGUUCAUUCAUAGUUCAUCUUCAUGGGCAAAUUGCACUGAAAUGUUGCAUUGGAUGGGAGGUUCCAGGUAGUACAUAUUCAUGAUUUAAGAUGCUGUGUUAUUUACUUAAAAUUAUUGUUUCAUUGUGAUAGGAAGUUGUCGUUCAUUCACAGCUUAUCUUUAUGGACAAAUUGCACAAAAAUGUCAGUGUUGUAUCCGUGAUGGUGUUUUAACUUGUUUACAGACUCUUGUAAAAAUAUUUUAGCCUAAAAUCAUUCUUUUUUGCUAGCUUUGGGGUGCAGGGGAUGAAAUGAUCCAUAUCUUUUGGAAAUCAAUUAAAAAAAGCAAGUGAUGAGCUUUUAGCCUUUUUAUUUCAAUUUUGUGUGCUGUACUAUUUUUCUAUCAAUUUCCGCUGGAAUGCCAUGCAAUUUUUUUUUUUUUUGUUAUAAAAAUCACUGUACAGCCAAUUUAAUUGGUUGUUGCUUUUUGAAAUUGCUUGUUGCUUCUCAUUUACCCAUUCUUGGAGUUUGAUAUAAGUAUUUUGACUUGGGGCUUCCUAAUUUGGGAUCCAGAUGUCAAGGUGCAAUAGAAAGUGCAGGAGCUCCUCUUAAGUGGCCAUAGCGUUUUUAAGUUGCAAGAUGUCUUCAAUGCCUUUUCCCAUUGUAGAUGCUACCUCAUGUUUUAUAUUUGCAAUUCUAUUUAUGCAUGCUAGUGUGGAGUUAAAGUUAAGGUUUGUUUAUUUGGCCCAUUUGUGCUCUUUGUUAAAAUGGAAAACAAUGGCCUGCUAAAAACUUAUUUUCGUUUUUUUCCUCAUGGACUACUGUUUGUUCAUACUUUGGAGUUUGGAGCUGCUUUUUCUUCCCUAACUCUACUUUGUUUGUGUAGUUGAAAUUUAGGCUUGUGUAUUUGGUAUUAUCAAUGUCUUUGUUGGAGUCAUUGACCUUAUAUUUCUGCUGUUCGAAUUUAAUGUUUUGCUUGAAAAAGCUGUACCCACUCUGUGUUAUAUGAUUUUACGUGAGAAAUGUUUUGUAUGUCGGCUCUGUGAUAGACUUUUAGAAUCUUCUAAAGGCAUAAUAGUUGGAUGCCGUCAAGACAUCUUAAAAUAAUUAUAACAUUGGUGGUUGGCUUUUUGGUUAUUGUGGCAUUCAUGGAAGUGAUUCUUUUCCUGGAGGACCUGGAACUACUUUCUUUUGCACUUGGUGUUGAUGGUUGUCUGAUUACGGGCUUUCUUGUCAUUGAAAUAGCUUUGUUGUUAAGGCCAGUGCAUCCUAGGAAAUCAGUUUUUUGAAUAAGAACUAAAUUAUUGACUAGGCUCCUGGGCAAGAGAUGCCUCGUCAUACCCAUAUAUAAGGACAUUAUGAAUCUACAAAUGUCCAUAUGGUAGUGCUUUAGACAUAUUUUACCUCUUACUUUGUCUGGUUCUUGUACGUGUUCUAGAGUACUUGUGCUACUGGUGAUGCUUAUUGAAAGUUUAUUUGGAUUUUUCUUUUUUUUUCUAGGUGUGUCACGAUGGAAAAACCAUGGAAGUUGAUGUUGCACGUGGUACAGUAACCCAUCACUACAAAUAACAUUUCUUAUAUUUUGCUUGAAUGCAAGGGCUUGUGCAGAUUUCGAGAACUAGUCUAUUGGGGUUCUAAAUUGGAAGAGCGACUAGAAGGAUAGUGGCGCAAGCUAUCUUAGAUUAGGGUUAUUUAAGUUGAACUGUUAUCUUGGACAUUCAUUAAGAUUGUUGGACAUUGCAAGGCUUUGUUAUUUUAAGAACUAAGUUUUGCAUGUUGGUAAAUUAUUGUUCUGUUAUAUAUUUAGAACUGUGAGACUUUAUGACUUGAGUUAGUCAAUGGAAUAAGAUUGCAUUUAUUUAGUUGAAUUAUUUUGGAUUUAUAUAAUUGAGAUGUUGGUUAAGAUGCCUUGCAUGCUCGUGGGAAGAGUUUCCUAUGGGUGUGCGGCAGUUGGCACGUUCCCUCGCCUCGCGAUUUUGGGCCGGAGGCGUGACAACUUAAGUGGUAUCAGAGCUUGGGUUUAAGAUUACUAGGGAAUAAUGAUUAGUUAUAUCAGAGCUUAGCUUUUAGGAUUCUUAGGAUUCGUCGAAAAGUUUGAGAGAUGGGGCAAGAAGACAAAUAUCUUUGUUUACUUUUGUUAGUGGUAAAUUUGUGUUAUCUUAUCUGAAUUUUGUGAUGCUGAAAUCAGAAUGCUAUCUGUGUUUAUAGCCAAAGUAUGAAUAGGCUAUUUUGAGAGUUUUCUUGGUGGAGUAAUUUGUAUUCCAAGAUAUGAUUAAUUGGAUUUUGACUAAGUUAAGUGAAAGAGUAUUAGUUAUGGAAUAUUAUCGUGCAAUGUAGGUAUUUUGGAAGUUCAGAUUGAUAUCGGGUACUAUGAUGUUACUUCUAGCUUGAAGUUAAUUAAUUCAGUGACAAGUUAAGGUUCACAUAUGAAAUGUUGUUUAAGGCUUGGGCUAUAUAUAUAUAUAUAUAUAUUUAUUUAUUUAUUUAUUUGAUGAUAUUCAUUGAAAUAUUCUUCGAGGAUUGAAAACUAUACGGGGAUCAUAUAUGUAGAUGGAAAAUAUAUUUGGGAUGAAAUUCUAGAAUUAUUCUUUGGCUUUACCUCGAAUUUGAAAUUUUAGAUCUUUUCAAAUUACAAUGCAAAUUGGGAUUUUGAUUGGAAGUGAUUUAGUAAAUUAUGAGAAUAUUGGUUGUUUAAAUUAUUUUAAGAUGGUCAACGAUAUUAACUCUGUGAUUGAGAAAUAUUUUCUGAUGGGUUUUCUUGUUGAGGAGAAUUUCGUUGUCAAUGAAAAGGAUAGUGUUUUUGAUUUUGACUGAUACGAAUAUUAUCGUAUUAUUAGUAGGUUCUUCUAUUUGCUAUGAA